rnacentral:lncRNA from 1 species
AAUAAAGUAGUCCAAUAUUAAAAUAAAAAAUGGUGUGUGGGGGAUACAUACAUAUGAUGAUAUAUGAUUUAAGCGCGUUGCCAUCUUCAACUUGCCUUCUCCUCCACGUCAUUUUCGGCUGAUUCCUUCUAUUAAUAAAAUCUGCUUACACCAUCAGAAUCGGCUCGAAAAUGGUGUUUUUUUUCUUCUCGAUUGAAAAUGCAUUACCUAGUCGUUGUUUGUUUAUGUCUAUGAGAUCCCCCGCUUCCGUAAUUGAGACAAAUGUUAGAAUGUCAUAAUAUGUAUAUACUCUCGUUCGUUAGAUAAUUUAAUUAAUGGAAACAUAUGUUAAGGGGUUCAAGAAAAGUGAUGGAUGACAGAUGCAAUGACAAGAUGUGUACAGUUGAUGCAUAUUGUGAAAAGGAUCUUCCUACGGUACGUUAACCUGAUUGACAAUGAUAGCUUGUUGGAUUGGAAGACACGGGAAAGAGGAAAGUGAGGUGAAAUUGAGAAACCCUCCAUUAAAAACUAACAUUAAUAAUGCACAUGAUAGAUGUCCCCAAAAUAUAUGCAUAUAGCGACUCUUUCCUAUGCUACUCAUUUUAAUAGAAAAAUAUAUAACUCUCCC